UAGCGAAGGGGGCUAGCGUUGCUCGGAAUCACUGGGCGUAAAGGGUGCGUAGGCGGGUCUUUAAGUCAGGGGUGAAAUCCUGGAGCUCAACUCCAGAACUGCCUUUGAUACUGAGGAUCUUGAGUUCGGGAGAGGUGAGUAGAACUGCGAGUGUAGAGGUGAAAUUCGUAGAUAUUCGCAAGAACACCAGUGGCGAAGGCGGCUCACUGGCCCGAUACUGACGCUGAGGCACGAAAGCGUGGGGAGCAAACAGG
rnacentral:rRNA from 1 species